CACGGGGAAAUAUUGGGUCUAAUGAAUCCCUUAUCUAAGAGAUUCUUCAAUUGUUCUUUCAGUUCCUUGAGUUCUGCUGGUGCCAUUUUAUAUGGAGGAAUAGAGAUAGGCCGAGUGUUUGAAAGAAGAUCAAUACCAAAGUCUAUUUCCCUUUCGAGAGAAAUUCCUAGAAGAUCUUCGGGAAAGACAUCUGAAUAUUCAUUCAUAACUGGGACUGAUUCAAGACUAGGAGCCUCGAGACUGGAAUCUUUAACAUGAAAUAGAUGAUAAACACAUCCCUUAGAUAUCAUUUUCCUUGCCCAAAGGUAGGACAUAAGCUGACCUCUGAACACUGAAGUACUAC
rnacentral:lncRNA from 1 species